rnacentral:rRNA from 1 species
CUAAUACCGGAUAACACGAAAGACCGCAUGGUUUUUCGUUGAAAGGCGGCGCAAGCUGUCGCUACAGGAUGGGCCCGCGGCGCAUUAGCUAGUUGGUGAGGUAACGGCUCACCAAGGCGACGAUGCGUAGCCGACCUGAGAGGGUGAUCGGCCACACUGGGACUGAGACACGGCCCACACUCCUACGGGAGGCAGCAGUAGGGAAUCUUCCGCAAUGGACGAAAGUCUGACGGAGCAACGCCGCGUGAGCGAAGAAGGCCUUCGGGUCGUAAAGCUCUGUUGUUAGGGAAGAACAAGUACCGCAGUCACUGGCGGUACCUUGACGGUACCUAACGAGAAAGCCACGGCUAACUACGUGCCAGCAGCCGCGGUAAUACGUAGGUGGAAGCGUUGUCCGGAAUUAUUGGGCGUAAAGCGCGCGCAGGCGGUUCCUUAAGUCUGAUGUGAAAGCCCACGGCUCAACCGUGGAGGGUCAUUGGAAACUGGGGGACUUGAGUGCAGAAGAGGAGAGCGGAAUUCCACGUGUAGCGGUGAAAUGCGUAGAGAUGUGGAGGAACACCAGUGGCGAAGGCGGCUCUCUGGUCUGUAACUGACGCUGAGGCGCGAAAGCGUGGGGAGCCAACAGGAUUAGAUACCCUGGUAGUCCACGCCGUAAACGAUGAGUGCUAAGUGUUAGAGGGUAUCCACCCUUUACUGCUGUAGCUAACGCAUUAAGCACUCCGCCUGG